UCGAGUCAUUCUAUAAUACAGGGAGACCUAGGACUCUGAUGUGACAAGUCCCAAGCAAGACCACACCAAUGAGCAGGAAUAAGUCCGCCAAAGGCAGCAUCCUAAAGCAGUGAGAAACCCAGCACAAUGGAAAAAUCCCAGAAUCUAUGAGGGUGACCCUAGCUGAGACUCUUAGUAGAGGGGGAUAAAGAGCCUGAACUGGCCACCUCCUGUAACCAGGAAAGUCCGUUUUGUCUGAGAAUGCAGUUCCUGGUGAGCCAGCCACUCUUAAGUCGAAGGCCACACAUCCAAGAUCAAUUGUGCAGCACAAACCGAUCUUCAUGAGUAUCAGAAGACAGAAGUCCUGCUUCCAGAUAAACCUGUUUCCUUCCCUGGGUCCCCUGCAGCAACCCUCAGAGCCAGCACGCUGCAGCUGCCUUCUUACCUUCGGCUCCUGUCUCCUUCCAAAGUCCAGUCAAAUCAACCUUUACCUUUUUACUUCACUUGUCAUUUUCCAGCUGGAAAACAACAAAUUCGAUCGCUGGUACAUAAGCAACAUCUGCUGCUAGAUCUCCCAACUGGCAGGCCUGUUUCAUGUCUUGCAGCCAAACAUCAAGGGAUGAGUUUAUGUGUGUAUCUUUCCCUUUGUAUUAAUAAUAAGUGGGUCAUUAUGGCUAUAUAAUGAGAGAGUGGCCUGAUAUGUCUUGUCACUUCCUUACCAAAUCCAUCUCAUAUGUGAUCCAUUAAGUGGCAGGGCAUUUUCCUCUUAGCCAUGUAGUAUCAUUUAGCUUCAUCCAAAUGAAACUCACUCUACAGCCAUCAACUUUAUUACUAACACCAUCAACUUCACUGUUAUCCCCUGUUAUGGUGCAUAGGGUGUUAUACCCAGGAUGGUCCUAUACAACAGCAUCAGAGGCUCAUCCAUGGGAGUUCAUAGGCACAGUUUUACUACACAAAACAGCCAC